rnacentral:lncRNA from 1 species
AUAGACCCGUUAAAGAGGGAAAAAAAUGAAAUAAUACUAAAACUUUGUAAAAAAAUAAACAAUUUUGGGCAUGGUUCCAUGUUACAAUUAUAUAAGCUUUGGAAAAAUGACAAGUCAAUACACAAAAUUAUAAUGGUACAUGUUUCACAAAAUACAAGACUUCGAAAGUAAACCUCCAAACUUCAAUCCCUUGAGGCCAACC